UACGUAGGGGGCUAGCGUUGUCCGGAAUCAUUGGGCGUAAAGGGUGCGUAGGCGGCGCGGUAAGUCGGGUGUGAAAUUUCGGAGCUUAACUCCGAAACUGCAUUCGAUACUGCCGUGCUUGAGGACUGGAGAGGAGACUGGAAUUUACGGUGUAGCGGUGAAAUGCGUAGAUAUCGUAAGGAAGACCAGUGGCGAAGGCGGGUCUCGUGGACAGUUCCUGACGCUGAGGCACGAAGGCCAGGGGAGCAAACGGG
rnacentral:rRNA from 1 species